ACUGUAUAAUUUUAUGCUCCUCCUACAAGAGAACAAAAGGGGAAAAAAGUAAGUAGUACAAAGAAGAAUUACAAGCUAAUUGAUUCUCUAUCUGUUUCUUCUUUAUUAAAUUAGCACAGUGGAGAAAAGAUAAGAGGGUUAUUUCGGUUGUUCUCAUCAUAUUAAAAGGCUUUAAAUGCCAAAGCAUGGUUAAACAUAAUUUACUGAAUAAAAUACCAUAUGGUAAAGAAUCGGGCAAAAUUAAGACAAAUAGCCACAGAAAUAAUGCUUUUCAAGCAUGGGUAUUUAUAACCCCAAACCUUUAAUUGGAUUCCGG
rnacentral:misc_RNA from 1 species